CAGCGACAUAAACAAUCCUUCGGGUGCGCUUAUGGGCGGCGAGCGGCGGACGGGUGAGUAAUGCCUGGGAAUAUGCCCUGAUGUGGGGGAUAACCAUUGGAAACGAUGGCUAAUACCGCAUAAUCUCUUCGGAGCAAAGAGGGGGACCUUCGGGCCUCUCGCGUCAGGAUUAGCCCAGGUGAGAUUAGCUAGUUGGUGAGGUAAGAGCUCACCAAGGCGACGAUCUCUAGCUGGUCUGAGAGGAUGAUCAGCCACACUGGAACUGAGACACGGUCCAGACUCCUACGGGAGGCAGCAGUGGGGAAUAUUGCACAAUGGGGGAAACCCUGAUGCAGCCAUGCCGCGUGUGUGAAGAAGGCCUUCGGGUUGUAAAGCACUUUCAGUUGUGAGGAAGGCAUAUGCGUUAAUAGCGUAUGUGUUUGACGUUAGCAACAGAAGAAGCACC
rnacentral:rRNA from 1 species